UACGUAGGGCGCAAGCGUUAUCCGGAAUUAUUGGGCGUAAAGAGCUCGUAGGCGGUUUGUCGCGUCUGCCGUGAAAGUCCGGGGCUCAACUCCGGAUCUGUGGUGGGUACGGGCAGACUAGAGUGAUGUAGGGGAGACUGGAAUUCCUGGUGUAGCGGUGAAAUGCGUAGAGAUCGGGAGGAACAUCAGUGGCGAAGGCGGCAUCCUGGACCGGUAUUGACGCUGAGGCGCGAAAGCUAGGGGAGCAAACGGG
rnacentral:rRNA from 1 species